rnacentral:rRNA from 1 species
GAAGACCCCUUGAAGACUACAAGGUUGAUAGGUCGGGUGUGUAAGUACAGUAAUGUAUUGAGCUAACCGAUACUAAUAGGUCGUGAGGCUUAGCCACUUU